CUGACUGAAGGGAUGAAAGGGUUGAACGCACCCACAUAACGCUGCAGCAUUGCUGGAGCAGUCAAAGGGAGAAGGCUCUUCUUACAUCAAAGUUGUCAGAGCUAUGGAUGAAACCUCCAGCAGUAUGUUUUACCACACUUCCACCUGCUAAAUGCCUGUGAUGGAGAUGUCAAGAGCCAAAUUAAUAGAAACUCCCUGCACAAGCCUCUCUGCCACCAGCACACUGCAGUUCUUUCCCAAAACACUGAGAUCCUUCUGGUAUACGUACACAUGCCUGGUGAAACCCGAACACCUAGGAUUGCAGCAAGAUCAAAUUUCGGCAUUGAUAGUCAUUCAUUCACUCAUUCAUUCAUGGAAAAAGAUACAAGGACUCCAUCCUGCCCAAGUAUGAAAGCUAUGCUUUUUUUCUGAGGAGUAUUGCAUGCAACAGCCAGCAACUGGCUGCCCUGUUUGGGACAUGGGUGCUUUGUAGAAGAUUCCCGUUACAUCAGCUCACACAUCAGCUUGCAAGAAAGCUUCCAAGUGGGAAAGCAUAUGAUUUUUCAUGUGGCACUGCGAUACUACUAAUAAUAAAAAGAGUAAGCAUUUUCUAUUAGAGCCUGGAAAGAGUUUGCCAAAAGUCAGGGUUUUAUAUAAAAAUAGCUGAAUGUCCACAUCAGUUAGUUUCUCUUGGAAACUUUAAAAAAAAUUAAAUAUAUUUUUUGAUGGCUUUACCCUGCACUGCCCAGGCACAUUAAGCCACAGUAAACUACAUUCUUAUGGUUGUCAUAACAUUUCGCUCUGUGUUGCUUGCAACGUGAAUAAUCUAUUAAGAUAUAUAAGGUGCAAAACGCUGCCUUUAUGUCUCCGAGUUCCCACAAUCUGCUGUAACAACGCAGUGCAAUUACUGCUAGAGCAGUGCAGGAGCAGUUCCUUGCCACUCCUGCAGCUGACCAGAGGGUCUGGGCCAGUGACUCCGGGCAGGCUUGGCCACAGCCAUGAGGGCUGCAGGGACCUGCCUUCCUCCCACUGUUCUCCCCCUCCUCCUCCCCUAUCCCAGCCUGUCAUCAAUCUUACUAAAAUGACAGCAGACAGAUGUUAGCCUUUGCAAAGAUCAAAUGAAAUCUAUGGCUUUAGGGCUGUUCACCAAGGAGCGGAGUAGUCUACACCAGACACGGGCACCAGCAGUCACCUCCUCUGCAUCAACAAGCCUCGAAUCAGUUUGGCAGCCAUCACAGUCAUCUCUCCACAGGCAACCCAAGUCCUGAAAUAGAUUUUGACAAACUUUAACGUUUUAGCCUCUCCAUAGAGUUGUUUGCUUGUUUGUUUUUAUAGCAAAAUUGCUCAUUCGAAACUUCUUUGGGUGAGAGUUUUGCAUGUGUCGGGGGUGAAGUUGGGAGGGGCUUGUAUUUGCAGCCACACAAACAAGCAGCUCAGGAGUGCACAGGAGUGGGGGUUAAUUUGGGUUUAGUAUACUUGGCCCCUACAAGUUCAGUACCCUGAAUGCUGCUAGCAAAGGGGAAAAAAAAAAGAUUACUCCAUGGCAUAAAUAUGCUGUAUGUGCCCUUGUCUCAUGCAAUUUCUUUACAUCGAUGUGCAGGAAUAUUUAUCCCCAGUAGAAAUGUUUAACUAAUCUGGUAAAUGUCAAGCCAUAUGGUGUACAUUGUAAGGAUUUCAUCAGGCCUUUUUAACUCUUUGUGAAAGUCUCUCCCUCUCUCGCUCUCUUUCUCAGUGCUUUUUCCUUUUUUUUUUUCUUCCCAUUGCUGACCCCAACAGAACCUAUGAGGCAGGAGAUACCUUGCAUGGUGUUAUUAACAUUAGUGAGAUCAGGAAGGUGAUGUUCACGGUUUAUAAUAACAAGCAAUAUUAGCCAGAAGUGCAACUUGUGAGGCACCUUUAUGCUGGGCAAAGAGAUGCUGAAUGCAAUUUUUAUCAGCAGUGACCUGCAGAAGAUCACCAGUACUUUUUUUUUUUAUAACAAACCAUCCACCCCAACAAUGUACAAAAUUCCCAGGGGCUACCUCAUCUCUUAUCACUUCCUUUGAAUAAUCAAGUCUUCACAAUAAAUAAACUGCAGCUCUCCAGCACUUUCAACUAAAGGUAAUGUUUUUGUACUGUAACUAUCUAGUGUAUCUUCCAGAAAGAUAGAGCGCAAUUUACAAUAAGCAAUAUCAAAAAAGAAUAAACCGUUAUGCUCGUGCCAAUCCUUAUUCAUGGAUUUAUAACAAGACAUAUCUGUUUUCUUCCUAUAAAUCUUGACUCUAUUUUUAGGGUUUGCAAAUAAUUACUCCAGUCUUUGGCUGCCUGCCACUUCUGGGAAAAACUAGAAUAGUCACAGUGCAAGACUACAAUAUUAAAAAAAAGGGGG